UACGUAGGGGGCAAGCGUUGUCCGGAUUUACUGGGCGUAAAGCGCUCGUAGGCGGUCUGACGCGUCGGAUGUGAAAACCCGGGGCUCAACCCCGGGCCUGCAUUCGAUACGGGCAGACUAGAGUUCGGUAGGGGAGUCUGGAAUUCCUGGUGUAGCGGUGAAAUGCGCAGAUAUCAGGAGGAACACCGGUGGCGAAGGCGGGACUCUGGGCCGAUACUGACGCUGAGGAGCGAAAGCGUGGGGAGCGAACAGG
rnacentral:rRNA from 1 species